GGUAUGUAUGGGGAGUGGAGGGUAGGUAAUGGGUAUGGGGAGUGGAGGGUAGGUAAUAGGUGUGGUGAGUGGUGGGUAGGUAAUAGGUAUAUGAACUGGGAGUGUAGGGUAGGUAAUAGGUGUGGGGAGUGGAGGGUAGGUAAUUGGUAAUAUGUAUGGGGAGUGGAGGGUAGGGUAGGGUAGGGUAGGUAAUAGGUAUGUGGAGGGUAGGAUAGGAUAGGUAUGGGGAUUGGGAGUGGAGGGUAGUGUAGGUGUGUGGAGUGGAGUGGGAGUGGAGGGUAGUGUAGGUGUUUGGAGUGGGAGUGGAGGGUAGGUAAUAGGUGUGGGGGUGGAGGGGUAGGUAAUAGGUAUGGGGAGUGGGAGGGAGGUAAUAGGUAUGGGGAGUGGAGGGUAGGUAUGGGG
ensembl:lncRNA